GACAGAGUUAGGGAAGGGGUGACUAGUGGCAGAGUGAGGGAAGGAAGGGGUGACUAGUGACAGAGUGAGGGAGGUGGUGACUGUCACUAGUCACCACCUCCCUCACUCUGUCACUAGUCACCACAUCCCUCUGUCACUACUCCCUCCUUCCUUCUGUCACUACUCCCUCCUUCCUUCUGUCACUAGUCACGCCCUCCCUCACUCUGUCACCAGUCAUCCCCUCCCUCACUCUGUC